AUCUUCUUAGUAUAAUUAAUACCAAUGAUUUCCAAUCAUUAAAUUCAAGUUAAACUCAUGAAGAAGAUA
rnacentral:tRNA from 1 species